GAUCUCUCACACCAUCCAAAAUUUAUUCCUGAAUUUAUUAGGAAGCAAAAGGAGGGUAAUUUUGAUAUUGUCUCUGGAACUCGCUACAAAGGAAAUGGAGGUGUAUAUGGCUGGGAUUUGAAAAGAAAAAUAAUCAGUGAUGGGGUUUUGCCAUGUUGCCCAGGCUGGUCACUCCUGGGCUCAAGUGAUCCACCCAUCUUGGCCUCCUGGGAUUACAGGUGUGAGCCACCGCGCCUAGCCAGAUCUGAUUGUUUUAUUUGGCAGCCGUGGGGCCAAUUUUUUAACUCAGAUCUUGCUGAGACCAGGAGCAUCUGAUUUAACAGGAAGUUUCAGAUUAUACCGAAAAGAAGUUCUAGAGAAAUUAAUAGAAAAAUGUGUUUCUAAAGGCUACGUCUUCCAGAUGGAGAUGAUUGUUCGGGCAAGACAGUUGAAUUAUACUAUUGGCGAGGUUCCAAUAUCAUUUGUGGAUCGUGUUUAUGGUGAAUCCAAGUUGGGAGGAAAUGAAAUAGUAUCUUUCUUGAAAGGAUUAUUGACUCUUUUUGCUACUACAUAAAAGAAAGAUACUCAUUUAUAGUUACGUUCAUUUCAGUUUAAACAUGAAAGAAGCCUGGUUACUGAUUUGUAUAAAAUGUACUCUUAAAGUGUAAAAUAUAAGGUAAGGUAAAUUUCAUGCAUCUUUUUAUGAAGACCACCUAUUUUAUAUUUCAAAUUAAAUAAUUUUAAAGUUGCUGGCCUAAUGAGCAAUGUUCUCAAUUUUCGUUUUCAUUUUGCUGUAUUGAGACCUAUAAA
rnacentral:sRNA from 1 species